rnacentral:rRNA from 1 species
GAGUUUGAUCCUGGCUCAGAACGAACGUUAGCGGCGCGCCUAACACAUGCAAGUCGCACGAGAAAGGGCUUCGGCCCCGGUAAAGUGGCGCACGGGUGAGUAACACGUAGGUAAUCUCCCCUCAAGUGGUGGAUAACCCUCCGAAAGGAGAGCUAAUACAGCAUGAGACCACGAGCUCUUCGGAGCUUGCGGCCAAAGCAGGCCUCUACAUGUAAGCUUGCGCUGGAGGAUGAGCCUGCGGCCCAUCAGGUAGUUGGCAGGGUAAUGGCCUACCAAGCCUAAGACGGGUAGCUGGUCUGAGAGGAUGAACAGCCACACUGGAACUGACACACGGUCCAGACUCCUACGGGAGGCAGCAGUGGGGAAUCUUGCGCAAUGGGCGAAAGCCUGACGCAGCGACGCCGCGUGAGCGAUGAAGGCCUUCGGGUUGUAAAGCUCUGUGGGGAGGGAAGAAUAAGGGCUGGCUAAUAUCCAGCUCGAUGACGGUACCUCCUAGCAA